rnacentral:rRNA from 1 species
CCUUUGUACACACCGCCCGUCGCUACUACCGAUUGAAUGGCUCAGUGAGGCGUCCGGACUGGCCCAGAGAGGUCGGCAACGACCACUCAGAGCCGGAAACUUGUUCAAACUUGGUCAUUUAGAGG